GAUGAACGCUGGCGGCGUGCCUAAUACAUGCAAGUCGAGCGAACAGACGAGGAGCUUGCUCCUUUGAUGUUAGCGGCGGACGGGUGGGUAACACGUAGGUAACCUACCUAUAAGACUGGGAUAACUUCGGGAAACCGGAGCUAAUACCGGAUAAUAUUUCGAACCGCAUGGUUCGAUAGUGAAAGAUGGCUUUGCUAUCACUUAUAGAUGGACCUGCGCCGUAUUAGCUAGUUGGUAAGGUAACGGCUUACCAAGGCAACGAUACGUAGCCGACCUGAGAGGGUGAUCGGCCACACUGGAACUGAGACACGGUCCAGACUCCUACGGGAGGCAGCAGUAGGGAAUCUUCCGCAAUGGGCGAAAGCCUGACGGAGCAACGCCGCGUGAGUGAUGAAGGUCUUCGGAUCGUAAAACUCUGUUAUUAGGGAAGAACAAACGUGUAAGUAACUGUGCACGUCUUGACGGUACCUAAUCAGAAAGCCACGGCUAACUACGUG
rnacentral:rRNA from 1 species